UACCAGCACCCCGAGUGGUCGGGACGUUUAUUGGGCCUAAAGCAUCCGUAGCCGGUUCUACAAGUCUUCCGUUAAAUCCAACUGCUUAACAGGUGGGCUGCGGAAGAUACUAUAGAGCUAGGAGGCGGGAGAGGCAAGCGGUACUCGAUGGGUAGGGGUAAAAUCCGUUGAUCCAUUGAAGACCACCAGUGGCGAAGGCGGCUUGCCAGAACGCGCUCGACGGUGAGGAUGAAAGCUGGGGGAGCAAACCGGG
rnacentral:rRNA from 1 species